UCAGACAUGUACAUUAAUUAAUAUUUUACAUACCGUCGUCGGCAGAUUUCCUAAAAUAGGAAAUCUUAAUAUGCUAAUAUUAAAAGACAGAUCAAGGUGUAGACAAUAUUAAUGUCUAAGCGAGUUACUAUAAAAAAUUGUUCCAAUAAAAAUGUUUAAACAUUUUACAUUGCCGGACUUAAAAGUAAUAAAUAA
rnacentral:rRNA from 1 species